UACGAAGGGUGCAAGCGUUACUCGGAAUUACUGGGCGUAAAGCGUGCGUAGGUGGUGAGUUAAGUCUGUCGUGAAAGCCCAGGGCUCAACCUUGGAAUUGCCUUUGAUACUGGCUGUCUUGAGUUCGGGAGAGGUGAGUGGAAUGCCGAGUGUAGAGGUGAAAUUCGUAGAUAUUCGGCGGAACACCAGUGGCGAAGGCGACUCACUGGCCCGAUACUGACGCUGAGGCGCGAAAGCCAGGGGAGCGAACGGG
rnacentral:rRNA from 1 species